rnacentral:rRNA from 1 species
UACGUAGGGUGCAAGCGUUAAUCGGAAUUACUGGGCGUAAAGCGUGCGCAGGCGGUUUUGUAAGUUUGUCGUGAAAUCCCCGGGCUCAACCUGGGAAUUGCGAUGAAGACUGCAAGGCUAGAAUCUGGCAGAGGGGGGUAGAAUUCCACGUGUAGCAGUGAAAUGCGUAGAUAUCUGGAGGAAUACCGGUGGCGAAGGCGGCAUCCUGGACCAUUACUGACGCUGAGGCGCGAAAGCUAGGGGAGCAAACGGG